rnacentral:rRNA from 1 species
UACGUAGGGUGCAAGCGUUGUCCGGAAUUAUUGGGCGUAAAGAGCUCGUAGGCGGUUUGUUGCGUCGGCUGUGAAAUCCCGAGGCUCAACCUCGGGUCUAGCAGUCGAUACGAGCAAACUAGAGUGUUGCAGGGGAGACUGGGAAUUCCUGGUGUAGGCGGUGGAAAAUGCGCAGAUAUCAGGAGGAACACCAGUGGCGAAGGCGGUGCUCUGGGCCGGAACUGACGCUGAGGAGCGAAAGCGUGGGGAGCAAACAGG